rnacentral:rRNA from 1 species
UACAGAGGGUGCGAGCGUUAAUCGGAAUUACUGGGCGUAAAGCGUGCGUAGACGGCUAUCUAAGUCGGGUGUGAAAGCCCCGGGCUCAACCUGGGAAUUGCAUUCGAGACUGAAUAGCUAGGGUACGGUAGAGGGAAGUGGAAUUUCCGGUGUAGCGGUGAAAUGCGUAGGUAUCGGAAGGAACAUCAGUGGCGAAAGCGACUUCCUGGACCAGUACCGACGUUCAGGCACGAAAGCGUGGGGAGCAAACAGG